rnacentral:rRNA from 1 species
UACGUAGGUGGCAAGCGUUGUCCGGAAUUACUGGGUGUAAAGGGUGCGCAGGCGGGACAAUAAGUUGGAUGUGAAAUACCCGGGCUCAACUCGGGUGCUGCAUUCAAAACUAUUGUUCUUGAGUGAAGUAGAGGUAGGCGGAAUUCCCAGUGUAGCGGUGAAAUGCGUAGAUAUUGGGAGGAACACCAGUGGCGAAGGCGGCCUACUGGGCUUUUACUGACGCUGAGGCACGAAAGCAUGGGUAGCAAACAGG